UAUUAAUUAUAUGUUAAUUACUACAUUAUAUUAACGUACUUGUGUAUUGUAUUAAUCGUAGAUGUUAUUAAACGGAAGCUCUGACACACGCUACAAUGUGGAUGAACCUCAAAAAUAGAAAAACACCCAUCACGCUCGGUGGAAGCCAGAUACGUGAGUCCCCAUAUGACUGCACUUCUGUGAAGUGUCCAGGUAAGGGACAUCUGUCCAGGCUGAGAGCAGGGUACGGGCUGUCGGGGGCUGGGAUGGGGCGCAGGAUGAGACCACCUGCUGGGCGAUGGGAGAGACCGAGACUGAGACGGUGCGGACGCUUGGCGCCACUUGCUAAAUGCACUAAACAUCAUUGACUCGUAUCCUUUCCGCAGGUGAAUUUCAUGACAUGUAAAUGAAAUAAAGCUGGUUUUUAAAAACCCAGUAGGCUUUUCCAUGGCUCAUAACAAGAGUCUAUUUUUUUUUUCUUGUUUCUGCGGGCUCUACACCGGGCAAGGGCUGAUGUUGAAAUUACCAGCUGUUUCGAGUUUUCGAAGAAAGAAACUGCUAGGUUUGAGAACAAGGCCAGUGCACAAAGUGCCGCCUUUACAAGUGGACAUUCAGUAUUGGUGUCAGGUGUAGGGCGUGGUGGUCAGACAUCUAUAGACCUUACGAACGGAUGCUGCUGAUAAACAGAACCAGUGCCAAGGGCCUGCGGCUGAGCCAGCCCUCCAAGCUCUUGGCUGCCUCGCGCCUCCUCCGCUGGGACCGGGAAUCAGCGACACAGUCAAAGCUGCCAAGUAAAGGAUCUGCCGUUUGGCUUUGAGAACCGACAGCCACAGAAAAGUGAGUCUUCUAAGGAUUUCGUGAACGGUCCUUAAAAUGACGUACACUUUCAGAGAGACGCCUGAACAAAGCCCUCCUACGGUGGUUCCCCGAAAAUAAGACCUAACCGGAAGAUAAGCUCUAGCGUGAUUUUUCAGGAUGCUCCUAAUAGAAGCCCUGCCCCAAACAUAAGCCCCAGUUGAGAUCAUCAGCCAGGCAGGACUGUUUGAGUAAAUGUCGAUUUCUGUACAUGAAUAAAUGAAUACAUGUAGA